ensembl:lncRNA
GAAGAACUUUAUUAUUAGUCCAUUACUGCUUGCAGGAGGGCAGGAGGGAGGGCAGGAGGUGGGGAGGGAGGGAGAGAAUAAACUACUAACUGAGUUUUGGGUUACUUGGCCCUGAGUCAUCAGGUGAAGUUCCUUGCUAAUCAAAUUUACUGGUUAACAGGCGGAUUGUCACAGACAGCAAUGCCCUCCUUCAGUCUUUUGGGAAGCUGCUGAGCUGAGUCAGGGGUUUCCUAUAGCCCUGUAUACGUGAUGCCAAUACGUCAACAAAGCUCUGUUGCUAGCUGAGAAUCCCUUAGGCGCUGCUGUGUUGCUGUUCUCUAAAGUGGUGGGAGAGAGAGGGAGCUAGACCUGUUCAGAUUUCUUGAGAAAAGUUCUGAAUUCAUUGUUAUGAGGGAGGUAUAAGAUAGAGGAGGAUGUGGGGUACUACCGAUACUCCAGAUCUGAGAGAGAAAACGUCUCUCUCCACCAUGAAUUUGUACACAGUGGUAUCUUCCUGCUGUGUUCCUGAAAUCAGCGUCUGGUGUUCAUGCUCUCAUUGCCAAGUGAUGGAUCCCGGGCAUUUUAGUUUCAGUUACCUGCAAUCAGCCAUGUUCUGGGAGCAGAUGAUCCUGCUUCUGACACAUUGUCAAAAGGUCAACAGUAGCCUGAUGCUCUGUCACAAUGUCUACAUCAUUCACCUCACUUCAUCUCAUCACGUAGGCGUGGUAUGUUCUCAAUCAUCACAAGAAGGAGGGCACUCUUUUACAGUGAUCAAGCCUGGAGUCGAGCCUUGGAUGUUUCCUGGUUGCACUAAAGCUCUAACAUUUGGAGGCUGUUUCAGAUGCUCUUGACUUCGGAACCAUCUCCCUCUCUGGCUCUGACACAUGGUUCUAUGCCCUCAUAGUGGCUGUGCUUGAAUAACUGGCUCUUACAAAGGCCAUUUCCCUGUUUGCUCUAUGUAAAUAGAAUCACACGUUAGGUACUGUUCUCUGGAAUUGUAGUAAGAUGGUUGAAGUUGUAAUUUUGUAUAUUCAUAUUAGCACAUUGGAAUAUGUUUCCUGUUUCCUUUGGUCUUCCUGGUUUUCUGCGUGCCUGGCCACUUGAGCGAAGAUGAAGGAGAAAUCACAUUUGAAGCAGGGGUUAAGGAGACUUGGCUGAACUUCCUAAAACUUUAUGAGCAAAGCUGUUGGCCAGAAAUUCCAUGUGUUGUUUUAACUCUGUUUUCUUACUGCAUCUCCCUCUGAAAAAGUGCAAAGAGUUACCCCAUUGGCCAGCUGCUAGUUGCUGCACUGAAGAGUCGGAUACGAUUAGCAUCAACCAAAGUUAGAAAUGGAUAGCUGAGGGUAAAUGUUUUCGAGUUGUUGAAAACAGAAGUAUGGACUUUAACAUCCAACCUCGGGAGCCGUUGUUUGAGAGCGCCAGUCUAUGAGAUCAUGUAACAGCAAGGCCUCUAAAAAAUCACUCUACAUCUGCCCAAGGUGCUGAUAUUCAGUUAGAUGAGUUUUGGCCUUGACUAGAGAGAAAUCUAAGUAAAACUGGUUAUGAUUAGGAAAAGGAAAAACGAUCUCACUGUUUUGUGUUCUAUAGGAGUUUAUAGUUCUUUCAUAUCAAUGAGUAAGAUUUUAAGCAUUUUUAUAUAUUUGCUAUAAAUAUUUCCCUAGUUUGCUGUUUACUUUUCAAUUUUAAUUCUUUUGAAUGAUUUAAAAUUUAUAUGUAGUUAAAUCAGAUGAUUUUUCCUUUUAAUUUCUUUCACUGUUUUAAGCUUAGAAUGUUUUCUUUCUAAAACUUUGGUAUUUGAUACUAUUUCUUCUAGCUUUUGAUAGAUUAAUUUUUUAAACCAACUGUACUUUUUUUAUUCACUUGGAAUUUAUGUGGGUCCAUGGUACAAGAUAAUGACUAAACUGGCUUCUUUUCCUAAUGAGUAAUAGCAUUAUUUGUUGAUUCAGUAUUCCUCUUCUCUGCUGACUUGUGAUUUCUCUUCCGUCAUAUAUCAUAUAUUCGUAUGAUUUAUUUCUGAGCCAUCUAUUCUGUUCCAUUGGCUUGUCAGUCUAUUCUUGUGCUAUAAUCAUGCCUGUUUUAAUUAGUAUUAGUAAUUGGCAUGCAUUAGUAUUCAGUAGAGCUGUUCUUCUAACAAGGAAUGAGGAUUCUUUUGUACCAGAAGUUAGCAGGUAAGCUUCUUA